CUCAAGUUUCAGAAAAGUCUCAUGACUUGUGUGAACUCUUUGGACUGUCCUUAUACAUUGACUGGUGUUACACAAGCUUGGAGUUAUAUAUGUAUUAAAAUUGACUCUGAGAUUUGUGAAAAUUUUGUUAAUCACUAGGACAUUUCCUAUCCACCCAUCAGUUGGAUAAGCUGAGUAAGCAUCAUCACCACUAUCUACCUAAUGUUCUGUUGGGCUAUGCUUAGUCAGUCAUGUCCAACUCUUCACAAUCCUAGGAACUGUAGCCCGCCACACUGCUCUGCCAUGGGGAUUCUCCAGGCAUGAAUACUGGAGUGAAUAGCCAUGCCCUCCUCCAGGGGAUCUUCCCAACCCAGGGAUCAAACCCAGGUCUCCCUCAUUGUAGGCAGAUUCUUUACCAUCUGAGCCACCAGUGAAGUCUGCAGCUCUAGGCAGUAGCAUCAGUCAUGUUAGAUACUCUUUCAUCUUUUCCAAACUCUACUUAUCUUACCUGUUCUUUAUUUUAGACCACUGUAUCACAUCUCAAGUCUCAAUCUUCAUAGAAACCACUGGAAGAUCUCGUAAAAGGCAGACUUGGAUAAGGUGUCCCGGAAAGACUGAUAUAAACAACCAAGGUGAGCAAAUAAAGCAGCCUAUCAUGCCCUGCUUUCACUGCUGACAAAAGGAGAGCAGAAUUAUAUGGAGUAUGACAGGAAUUAUGGAAGAAGUGUAUAAGGAGCCAUGUAACAGUAUAUUUCAGCAUCUGCAUAUUAAAUCUUCACAAGUUGUCAUCAAGUCAUCUGCUCUUUAAACGAUCUCUUAAGAAUGAGGCAAAAUAUGAGAAUCUCUGGUUGAAGAGACAAGAACUACAUGGACACAUAAUGCACGGUGUUCUCUCAAGGUACUGUAGUAAUUUAUAAUUGCAGGAUUGCAGAAAUCUGAUGUAGAAGCCUUUUACAGAAUAUGAACAAUGAGAGGGUGUUAUAGCACCCAGAGUUUACUAAACGGAUAUAGUUUUCUUUCCA
rnacentral:lncRNA from 1 species